UCGAGGAUCUUCCGCAAUGGGCGAAAGCCUGACGGAGCGACGCCGCGUGGAUGAUGAAGGCCUUCGGGUUGUAAAGUCCUUUCGCGCAGGAUGAAAAUGCGUGUGUAAAUAGCACACGCACUGACGUUACUGUGCAAAGAAGCUCCGGCUAACUUCGUGCCAGCAGCCGCGGUAAGACGAAGGGAGCAAGCGUUGUUCGGAUUCACUGGGCAUAAAGGGCACGUAGGCGGCCGAGCAAGUCGGAUGUGAAAUCCCGCGGCUCAACCGCGGAAUUGCAUCCGAUACUGCACGGCUUGAGGCCGGGAGGGGAGAGUGGAACUCCUAGUGUAGCGGUGAAAUGCGUAGAUAUUAGGAGGAACGCCGGUGGCGAAAGCGACUCGUCUGGCCCGGUUCUGACGCUGAGGUGCGAAAGCUAGGGGAGCAAACAGGAUUAGAUACCCUGGUAGUCCUAGCCCCUAAACGAUGAGCACGUAGGUAGGGGUGGUUCCGAG
rnacentral:rRNA from 1 species